UACGUAGGGGGGCGAGCGUUUGUCCGGAUUCAUUGGGCGUAAAGAGCUCGUAGGCGGCUCAGUAAGUCGAGCGUGAAACCUCCAGGCUCAACCUGGAGCCUGCACUUGAUACUGCUGUGGCUUGAGUCCGGUAGGGGACCACGGAAUUCCUGGUGUAGCGGUGAAAUGCGCAGAUAUCAGGAGGAACACCGGUGGCGAAGGCGGUGGUCUGGGCCGGCACUGACGCUGAGGAGCGAAAGCGUGGGGAGCAAACAGG
rnacentral:rRNA from 1 species